AUGGGUGCAUACAAGUACAUCUAGGAGCUAUGGAGGAAGAAACAACCUGAUGUAAUACAUUUUCUUCUGAGGGUCCACUGCUGGCAGCACUGCCAGCUCUCUAUGCUCCACUGGCCUCCCCACCUCACCCAGCUGGAUAAAGCACACAGAAUUGGAUACAAAGAUAAGCAAGGUUAUGUCAUAUAUAGGAUACAUGUGUGCAUAGUAGCCACAAACGCCUAGUUCCUAAGGGUGCAACCUAUGGCAAGCUUGUGCAUCAUGGUGAUAACCGGCUAAAGGUUGCUCAAAGACUUCAGUCUAUUGCUGAGGAGAAAGUUGGAUGCUACUGUGGGUCUCUAAGAGUCCUGAAUUCUUACUGGGUUGGUGAAGAUUCCACAUACAAAAUUUUUGAGGUUAUCCUCAUUGAUCCAUUCCAUAAAGCUAUCAAAAGAAAUCCUGACAUCCAGUGUAUCACCAAACCAGUCCACAAGCACAGGCAGAUAUGUGGGCUGACAUUGGCAGGCCGAAAGAGCCUUGGCCUUGGAAAGGGCCAUAAGUUUCACCACACUGUUGGUGGUUCCCACCAUACAGCUUGGAGAAGGUGCAAUACUCUCCAGUUCCACCGUUACCACUAAUAUAA